GCCAUUGUAGCUCAGUUGGUAGAGCAGCUCAUUCGUAAUGAGCAGGUCACCGGUUCAAGUCCGGUCAAUGGCUCCC
rnacentral:tRNA from 1 species